rnacentral:rRNA from 1 species
AUGUUUGAUGUUCUAACGUUGGCCCCUGAUCGGGGUUGCGGACAGUGUCUGGUGGGUAGUUUGACUGGGGCGGUCUCCUCCUAAAGAGUAACGGAGGAGCACGAAGGUUGGCUAAUCCUGGUCGGACAUCAGGAGGUUAGUGCAAUGGCAUAAGCCAGCUUGACUGCGAGCGUGACGGCGCGAGCAGGUGCGAAAGCAGGUCAUAGUGAUCCGGUGGUUCUGAAUGGAAGGGCCAUCGCUCAACGGAUAAAAGGUACUCCGGGGAUAACAGGCUGAUACCGCCCAAGAGUUCAUAUCGACGGCGGUGUUUGGCACCUCGAUGUCGGCUCAUCACAUCCUGGGGCUGAAGUAGGUCCCAAGGGUAUGGCUGUUCGCCAUUUAAAGUGGUACGCGAGCUGGGUUUAGAACGUCGUGAGACAGUUCGGUCCCUAUCUGCCGUGGGCGCUGGAGAACUGAGGGGGGCUGCUCCUAGUACGAGAGGACCGGAGUGGACGCAUCACUGGUGUUCGGGUUGUCAUGCCAAUGGCACUGCCCGGUAGCUAAAUGCGGAAGAGAUAAGUGCUGAAAGCAUCUAAGCACGAAACUUGCCCCGAGAUGAG